rnacentral:ncRNA from 1 species
GUGUUAUAUGAAAGGAGAGAAGGUUAGCACUCCCCUUGAUAAGUAUGGAAAAAGUCCUAGUGGCCUUCACAACGUAUAUACGGUUAAGGCAUUGCCACCUACACUGUGGCAUCUAACCAUGUUUUCUU